rnacentral:tRNA from 1 species
GGGCGCAUAGCUCAGUUGGUAGAGCCACCGGCUCAUAACCGGUCGGUCGUAGGUUCGAAUCCUACUGCGCCCACCA